rnacentral:rRNA from 1 species
CCUACGGGAGGCUGCAGUGAGGAAUAUUGGUCAAUGGACGCAAGUCUGAACCAGCCAUGCCGCGUGCAGGAAGACGGCUCUAUGAGUUGUAAACUGCUUUUGUACGAGGGUAAACGCAGAUACGCGUAUCUGUCUGAAAGUAGCGUACGAAUAAGGAUCGGCUAACUCCGUGCCAGCAGCCGCGGUAAUACGGAGGAUUCAAGCGUUAUCCGGAUUUAUUGGGUUUAAAGGGUGCGUAGGCGGUCGGUUAAGUUAGAGGUGAAAUCCCGAGGCUCAACUUCGGAAUUGCCUCUGUUACUGUUCGGCUAGAGCGUACUUGCGGUAUGCGGAAUGUGUGGUGUAGCGGUGA